AUCACGCUUGGUUUACUUUGGCAGUUUGUAUAUCUUGGACACUGACGCUGAAUUUAGUCUUGCUGAAGUGAGUUUUCCGGUGGUGAGUGGUGGGUAUGCCUUUGCUUUCUGACAAUGGUUAUUCACAGUUAUAUAUGACUCUCCUGUUCAUGCAAUUGACAACUAAAGCAAAUGUUCUCAUAGAGCAGUGUGAUAAUUAUUCUGUGAUUUCCAGGCAUGUGAUACGGUAAAAAAGUGCUUUCAUCUGACAACUGUAGAAAGAUAAAUAUUCAACUCUUGACAUCAUGACACCUAAGGGGGCUACACUGAAGGGUCUCCCACCAUCAGUCAUGGCCACUGUGGUCAUGUUACUCAUUCUGAUACCAGCUGCGGACAGUGCUAUCCAGAUAAACUGCUCUGAACCGAGCCAGCCCGCCCUGCUGGAGGCUCUGGCUCCAAUCUUUAACCUGAGCGCCAUACGACCUGUCAUGAA